UUCUUAGUCCUUUGGGAUUAGGCAUGGACCUAAUUAAAUAAUAAAUGAAGCAUAUUAAAAUGCAAACAUGCUAGCUAACUAUCUAGAUUAAACUAUAUCAACCCCUUGGCACAAAUUAAUUUAUUAAAUUAAUUAGCCAAUACUUUAAAAAGUUGGAAAUCAAGGUCUCAAGAGAUAAUAAAUUCUCUUCCAGUUCUAAAUCUGUGAUCCUAGGAAUUAUUUGGAGCAGAUUGGACUGGAAGAUUGAUUCAUAUCACAUAUAUUAUAUAAAUGUAUUAAAUAAAUAUUUUCUAUUAUGUUUUAUAUAAUAUUUUAUAUUUAUAUAGGAAAGGUAAGUUUUAAUGAGUCAGGGAAAAAUUAAAUACAUGGAAUUCUAUCUUGAGAGAUAAAGACUGGAUUAUAUACUUAAUGAAAGGCCCUUAGGUGGAAGUAAGAGAGCCAAUUUAUUCUAUUCUGACAGCUUGAGGCCUCCAGGAUCCCUACAUAGGAAUCUCUGGUAACAGAGGAGGUCAUACUAAGAGGUAAUAUUUGUAUAUUAGGAAGAGUACUGGGCUUGACUUCAGAAGGCCUAACUUCAAAUUCCAACUAUCAUUUUUAUUAGCUUUGUGAUCUUGAACAAGUAACUUAAUUGCUCAUUGGUAAAAUGAAGGUCAUAAUACUUGUACAACCUGAUUUACAGUGUUUUUAGAAGGAAAAACACUUUGUAAACCUUAAAACUCUAAAUAUAUUUGAGCCAUUAGUUGUUAUUAGUAUCAUCUUCUAAUUAUUAUUAUUAUUAUUAUAACCCUUAGCUCCAAAGUACCCUUACAUAGAGAUAAUGGAUGUUGUUAUUGGACUUUGGAAGGAAUAAAAGCUUAAAAUUUCAUUGUCAUCUGGAGAGAGCUAGAGGGUGAGGCACAGAAAGAAAGGACUAAAAGAAUUCUUUCCUGGGGAAAAAAAAAAGAAGUAAGCUUAUUUUUCCGAAAGACUAAAGAAACAUUUUAAGAGAAGUUAGUUCAGUACUUAUCCUGUAGAGAAGGUGUUCUGUGGAGAAAAUCUGAAAAGGAUUCUCCAGAGACUUUGAUUGCCAUCCUGAGAGAAGCAAUAGUGGGGAUUUCAAGAAUUGCUGGGGAUACAGAAGCUAUGGUGAUUCUGGCUUUUAUUCAGUCAUUUAGUUAAUAAUUUCAAUUUUACCUAACCCCCUGAGACAGGAAUUUGAUACUGAGAGAUGACUUUAUGGGAAAAGAGAUUUUUCUAGUUUAUUUAUGCACAAGGGUGAGAACUCAGAGCCAAUUGAUUAAUUAAUAAGACAUUCUUUCAUAGUAAUUUAUGAUAAAAUAUCAAAAUAUAUCCUUUGCUUUAGAACCUGGCACAAAAGUUAAUAAAACAAUAAACCAGUAACAGAUGGAGAGGGGUGAAGGAUGGUCUAGUUGUCAAUUAUUGCAUUCACGGACCAGAUUUUCAUCUAGAGAUAAUUUUUCCAGUUAAAGCACCAUGCCUGGGGAGGGUGGAGGGUGAGGUUUCCAGUUUCAUUUCUAUCUGGAACAUUGUCUUCCCACAAAGGAAAGCAAUGCUAUAGACUGUGGAAACCCUAUCUUUGACUAGCUAUCAUAAAAAUAUGUCUUCUUGGUCUUGAAGACAGGUAGGCCAAAGUGUGAAUGGCUCACUGCAAACUCAUACUCACUAUUGGACAAACAUCUCAGGGAGUACAUUCUUCUGACUGUGGGCCAGUAACUGUUUGUCAUUGCAAUAACUUUUAUGUAGGCAGGACAGUACUGAAGCUGCCAAGAUGCCACCUGCAUGCAAGUGAGUGGUUCUUAUAAUGACCUGUUUCUACAUUCUCUGUCUUUAUCUGUCUACCUCUCAUCAACUUGUCUCCAUUUUUGUGGUAUGUCUACCUAAUCUGCUGUUUCUUUAUCUCUUGCUAAGGACACUAGACGCUAAAUGAUGGUUUUGCUUUAAAUAUUAUUGUGUAAGAACAGUGAGACAAGCAUCAAUAUGGAAGGACAUACAAUAUAGCAUGAUUACCUAACCUGUUUUAUGAGAACAGAGGAUGGGAAAAGGAGAAUUUAGCUUCAAGUACUCUUCUAGGAAACGCAUGGAACCUCAGGGCUCAAGAGGAGGAGGGGUGAUGAUGAUGCUAGGAAUAGGGAGGGGCUCUCUACUGGGAAAGAGACUCAAUUACUAUUGAUCAUAUUCACUUCUUCCCUUUUUUUCAAAGAUGGGGUGAUAAAAGACAACUAGAUUUGCAAUCAAGUCCUUAGCGUUAAAUCCCAGCUUAAAUAAAUUAUCUUCCAGUUCUAAAUAUGUGCUAGAAAUUAUUUGGAGCAGAUUGGACUGGAAGAUUGAUUCAUAUCAUAUAUGUUAUAUAAAUGUAUUAAGUAAAUAUUUUCUAUUAUGUUUUAUAUAAAUGUACACAUACAUAUGCACUAUGUGUUUUGUUACCAGGUUCAGAAAACUGGGAGUCAAAGAGUCAUGAAAGGGGACCAUACUAAUGAAUGGUUAACAAACCAUAAAGUCAACAAACUGGAAAUAGGGGUGAGUUAAUGGAUCCCAGGAAUCAGCAAAAUCAUGAAUAAAACAUUACAAAUAUCCAUCCAGAAAUCUACACACUAAGACAUUCAGAAAGCUAGACAUAGAAAUAUUAUCCAAGUUUUCAAUCAGUGGUUCUAAAGUCAAAGAAGGUCAUUCUGGGCAAAGUCAAGAGAAUGUUAUAAAGAAAGAAAUCCUAGACACUAACUGAAAAAGAUUUAGUUUAAAAAAAAAAGAUUAAGUCCAAAAUGACAAUAUUUUAUGCUAACAAGCUGACAACUCCUCUUUUUCCCAUGCUCACAUACACAUAAACACAUUUAGCUGAACACAAUGCACCUAUGAAUUCAGACACCUUCUGUACUGCUCUAUGCCAGGUACUGUAGAGCAAACAAUAAAAAUGACAAUCAACUGGAAAGACAAGUUAAAUACAAGAAAAUAAAUAACAAUAUGACAACAUUAGAUCAUGAAGCAAUUUGUGAAAAGUUCAAAUGAGU
rnacentral:lncRNA from 1 species